GUUGAUAUCACAAGGUACACCAAAGGCGAAGGCAUUGCACUGGGCUAGCACUGACCCUGAGAGACGAAAGCGUGGGGAGCAAAACGGAUUAGAUACCCGUGUAGUCCACGCCCUAAACGAUGAAUGCUAAAUGUUCGGGGAUUCGACCCCCUGGGUGUUACAGCUAACGCGUUAAGCAUUCCGCCUGGGAAGUACGGCCGCAAGGCUAAAACUCAAAGGAAUAGACGGGGAUCCGCACAAGCGGUGGAGCGUCUGGUUUAAUUCGACAGUAAGCGUGGUACCUCACCAGGGUUUGACAUCCCUUGACAGCCUUGGAAACAAGGUUUCCUUCGGGCAAGGUGACAGGUGCUGCAUGGUCGUCGUCAGUUCGUGCCGUGAGGUGUUCCGUUAAGUCGGGAAACGAACGAAACCCCUAUUGCAUGUUACAAUUUCUCAUGCAAGACUGCCCGGAUAUACUGGGAGGAAGGUGGGGAUGACGUCAGAUCUGCAUGGUCCUUAUACCCUGGGCGACACAGGCGCUACAAUGGCAGAGACAAAGGGUUGCAAAACCGCAAGGUGAAGCUAGUCCCAAAAACUUUGUCUAAGUUCGGAUUGAAGGCUGCAAUUCGCCUUCAUGAAGCUGGAAUCGCUAGUAAUCGUGAAUCAGCCACGUCACGGUGAAUAUGUUCCCGGAUCUUGUACUCACCGCCCGUCACACCAAGAGAGUUGGUAGCUCCCGAAGCGUCCCGU
rnacentral:rRNA from 1 species